CAAAUCUUGGCGGUGGAUCACUCGGUUC
rnacentral:rRNA from 1 species